ensembl:lincRNA
UGCACACACACCCCGCACGCAUCGAGAGUGGCGGAAACGCCCUCUUUCCAUCCCUUCCAAACAAUUAUCUCGGAGAGCAAAAGAAAAUAAUCAACAGCCCUCUGUGCUUGGCGGCGGAGUCCGGGAGCCCGGCGCGAGGAGGGAGGGCAAUCGGCAGGCGAGCAGAGAAACGUGGCUCCUCCACCGAGGAGAGGAUUUGUGAAGAGGAGCACUGGCCCGCGUGCGCCUCUUGUUCCCCGUGUAAUUUGCAGCCAAUCAUCAGUAGGUGUCCACGUCCCUGCGUCCUCCUCACCUCCGCGCCAAUCACCCCCCUCACCCCCGCCCCCAGCCUCUACACCUCCUCCCUCGUCUUUCUCUCUCUCCCCUCCCCCAGCAACCACACACUCGCACACACACAAACAGAGAGAGAAGGAGGGGGGGAGGGCGAGAGAGAGAGAGGGAGAGACUCCCCGGCUCCCUCCCUCCCUCGCACACAGCGACUGGAGACGGACGAAGAGCAACGCGCUGGGAGAGGAGAGACCACCGAGAACAGCCCCGCGCUCUCACACAUACACUCACACUCGGCUCUUUCCUCCCCCCCUACCUCCUCCUCCUUCCACCCCCACCACUAACACCAUCUCCUCCUCCUCUCUGCAACAAGAAAAAAAAAAAGCCAUUUACAGAGAACGCCUGUUCCCAGCGCUGAAGCAUUCCGAUGGUUCUUUUAAAGCAGUAGUAUAUCUUAUUUUCAAGGCAUUUGGAAGUGAAGGGCAAGCUAAUGUCUUGUUUUAAGAAACUUCUUAGUCCACCACUGAAGAAAAAAAUCCAGAUAUUAUUUUCAUUUUAUGUAUAAAGGUUUCUUCAAAAAAAAAAAAAAGUAAAGAAAAGAAAAGAAAAAAAGACAAAAUUAACCUGGGAGUUGGGGAAUUGGACAGUCUAUCUACUUUCAAUACACUAAUUCUUUCUUUGAUGUAAUUUAGCUAUACUAGUGAAGUUGUUGUCUAUUUUGAAAGUGGCUGUAAAAAGUAAGUUUGGGUAAACCCCUGCUGUAAAAUCAUGUAUCUUUGCAAAGUACAUAUCUAUACUUCAUUUUCAAAUAUAUGUGUUUCAGUACUGUAAACUGUACAGAUAGCAGCUUGUAUUUUGUGUGUUUAGACACAAGGAGACAAUCAUGUCUGAGCAUCUAUGGAGAUUAACAGUUUGUACACAACACCAUGGUUCUGCGAGUCAAAUCUGGAGCAAUAAAUUUUAGCUUUAAAUAUUUUUUGCCAGUUGUUUCUAGAAAUGGCAACAACAGUGGCACUGUUUUGCCAUGCAUCUUUCCAUAGAGACUUUGAUGCCAAGUUUUACAAAAUUACAAGGUUAUGAUGCAUCUAGCAAUUACCUUCAGUUGUAUUGUUUAAGAGGGGAAGAUGUUAUGAAAGUUUAAAUUAUAAUCUUUUGGGCACUAUAUUAGAGUAGUGGUUAUGCACUUGCAUUGCUUACAAAUGAGCUGUACAGAAGGGUAUACCUCCCAAAUACUUAGUGUAGUUGACUUGUCUUGGAUUGCACUGUAGGUUGGAGUACGCAGAGUAGUUGGAACAUGCAGAAAUCAGUUGUAUAAUAAAAAAACACACAAAACAAUGUUUUCUAGGAUACAGAAUGAAUUAUCAGAUCUUAGGGGGGAAAAUCCAUGGCUUACAUUUUUCCCAGCUCAACAAGGGCUGUAGGCAAUUUUUUAUUUGUCUGUUUUUUUGCUUUUUCUGUGGUAGGAAAAAUAAAAUGUAAUAAAAUGUAUCCAAGUGUUUUAAAUCCAUGUAUGAUCUUAAAUGGGGAGUUUUGUUUUAAAAUUUGAAUAUAUUGAGGCCUCUUGCAUUGAGGCAUGGCUAGGUAUAAUUUUUAACUUACAAAGAAUUAAAUACAUUCAUGAAAAUGAGAUUUUCUAUCUCUUUUUAUCUUACUUUCUCAUAGCUUCCUAGUUGGACCAGUGGCUUUUCACCUCACUCCUCAGUAGAAUACUCCAUUGUUCCCAUUUCUGUUCUUAUCACUGAUACUUUCAUUCCUAAAAAGGCAGGGCCAUGGUCUGUGGAAUUCCAUGAAGUAAGAUAGCCCCCAACACAAAAGUUCUAGGCUGCAUGGGACCUGUGCUACUUUCUUACGUAGGAAUUAGUUUUCCUGUGACAGUUAGGACUUUUUUUUUUUUGGCCUAAUUAUAAGGAGUAUUUUCAGUUUCAGUUAUAAAAGACAGUAGAGCAAAGAUGCAUAGAUUAUCAAAGUUGCCAUCUUACUGGAACUUUUUGUUCAUUAUCAACUAGCCAGUUAUGUUAAUCCACAGACAUUCAUUAGCCUGCUAAAGAAGGUUAGCAGUAAGAUGAAUCAAGAGAAGAAAAAUAACUUGAGAAGGCAAAGGGUGAUGGAGUAGUAAAGAAGACUGUAAAAUUUUAGGAAGAUUAUCAGGUGAAUAUUUUUAAAAGGCUAGCUGUAGUUUUGAAUGGGAAAUAAGAGGACAGAGAUAAUUUCAAAAGCAGAAGGAGCACUCCACGGCAGUAUUAUGGCCAGGAAUGAAUAAGGCCAACGUGAGAAACAAGUAGGACUUGAGUUUCCUAGAGUACGUAUGCAAGGUCUACAGAUAAGGUCAAAUAGCCUUCUUGAGGAGAAUUCAUUAUGAUUACACCCUCUCCUGUGUAGAGAAGAGUAUUAACCACAAGUGAUAAGGUGCUUUAUAUUAAUUUUGAGAUAACUUUCUAUUUUAUGUAUAUUCCUUUGAGGCUUUCUAGUUAGAAUUUCUAUUUGUGCUGUGGGACCAAUGAGAACUAUGUGAGUUCUUUCUUGUUUCAUUUUUACUUUAUUUUUCUUGCUCUAAAACCCAAUUUGCUAAUUGAAUAUAAGUAAGUGAAAACUUAUUUUCACACUUGAAUGUUAAGUUUGCUUUGCUGUUUGGAAAAUGAUGAUUGUUAUUAUGAAAGUGAAAAAACCUAUUCAGACUCUAUUAGGAUUACAAUAACCUAUUAAGAUCUCUUAGCAAUGUACUGCGAGUCUAAAAUACAUGCUAGUAUUGCAAGUCUUGUGUUUUUGUUUGUUUUCCUAAAGAACUAAUGAAUCUGUAUAUUGUAAAAUGUGGUGUUUUCCAUGUCAAUUCAAUUUUUUUUAGCAAAAGAAAGUCUGUUGAAUAUUGAAAUCGAAUGGUGUAGCUUUUCUUUAAUUCUCAUAUAUGUUUUUUAUUCUUGAUAUUGUUCUUUUACACCACCUGUUUUAUGUUUCUGGUAAAAUCUAUUUAUAGAAUGUUGGGUGCAUAUAAAGUAUUCAUUGGUGAUGAAUGAAGAAUGGCAUUCAUUACUCUUCAGACCUCCUAUUAGUUCUCCUCCCCUUAUGGUUAUGGCCCGAGAACUUGUGAAGCAUAUUAUUAUGAUCCUAAGGAAGUGAUUUGAAGGUUUACAUUUUUCAAGACUCCAAAAUACCAAUGAAAUGUAACUUUUAAAAAGUUAUCACUGUAUGUUUCAUAUUCAGUACCAAGAAAAUUCAUAAUAGAGCAAGCAGAACAUAGAUGUGUGAACUAUCUGUACAAAUUAAAAAUUACAUGCAUCAGAUAAUCUGAAUGAAAACUUUGUAAGAAAAGUCCACAUACACAAGGGUCUUGUCUUCUCCAGGUGUGGGCAACAAGAUGUCACAUCCUGUUAGUAUUUGUGCAGAGCAUAAAAAAUACUUGAGGUGUUGAUAUUAUAGUACAGUGAGCCAAUUUCCUUUUGGGUGGUCACGGGACACCCAAGCCUGCAAGAACGUUGUUGCGCAAAUCUUUCCCUUUCCUGGCCUUCAGCCCAGGGAGGCUUUCUGAUGGAUUCUUCCUGUUUGUGUACAGGCAGAGGGUCAUUGACAAAGUAGAAAUGUAUCCAUGCUUGGGGGAGAAAACAUUAAUAGUCUUCCCCAGAUUAAGAGUGUAUGAAGUGUCUCCUGAUUGCUUAACUACCGAAACCCAACUUCCUACUUCUAAAGACAUUUAUAGAGAGCAAGAGAUGGUGGGUUUACAAUGAAUUAAUAUCAAGGAAUCUCUAAAAGAAAGAAAUAUUUCCUUCCUUUCAUUCAGAACUCUUGACAUGUAAGUUGUGCAAUUAAUGCUAAAGCAUAUGAAGUCUUUAAGCGGAUAGUAUCUGUAAUCAAAUAAUGAAAAAAAGAAAGCAGCUAAAUAAGAACACUAUUCUGGGUUAAAUAUAUUCAGCAAAAAGCCAUAGUGGGUCUUUGAUCAUGGUUAGAGUCAUAGUGAUAUCAAACAUUCGUUUCUCAUUAACAGCUAAAUGUUUCAGAUUUUGUUUUUAUUAAAUUUGGCAGUUUCACACUGAGAUCUGUAUUCCUAGUGAAUAAGAGAUAGCUACUGUGGUAGGAGGGAUUCAUUUUCACAGUUGCAAGGAAGUCAGAGCUAUAUCAGGAACAUGGGCCACAAAGUGUACUCCUUUCACAGUGUUCUCCUAUUUCUGAACUGUGCAGUUAUCUAUUAAAUUUUCUAAUAGAUAUUUGUGUAGGGUGUAUGUAUGCUUGUGCAAUUAUUUAAAAAGCAGUUUUGGAAAACAGUGUAUUUAUUAAAGAAAAUCACUUAUGGGGCAUGUACAAAACUGUGAAAAACUUUUAAAAAAAUCACAUUCAAUUUUCCCAGUAAAGUUGUUUUUGUGAAAUUUCUGUGUUGUUAAAUAAAGGACUUUAGUAUUCAGAAU